rnacentral:sRNA from 1 species
GCUGGGCGUGGUGGCUCACGCCUGUAAUCCUAGCACUUUGGGAGGCUGAGGCAGGCAGAUCACUUGAGGUCAGGAGUUCGAGACUAGCCUGGCCAACAUGGUGAAACCCCAUGUCUACUAAAAAUACAAAAAUUAGCUGGGCGUGCUGGCACAAGCCUGUAGUCCCAGCUACCCAAGAGGCUGAGGCUGGAGGAUCACCUGAACCUGGGAGGCGGAGGUUGCAGUGAGCUGAGGUCACGCCAUUGCACUCCAGCCUGGGCGACAGAGUGAGAUUCUGUCUCA